rnacentral:rRNA from 1 species
CGUUGCUAAUACCGCAUAAGCGCACAGUAUUGCAUGAUACGGUGUGAAAAACUCUGGUAGUAUAGGAUGGACCCGCGUCUGAUUAGCUAGUUGGUAAGGUAAUGGCUUACCAAGGCGACGAUCAGUAGCCGACCUGAGAGGGUGAUCGGCCACAUUGGGACUGAGACACGGCCCAAACUCCUACGGGAGGCAGCAGUGGGGAAUAUUGCACAAUGGGGGAAACCCUGAUGCAGCAACGCCGCGUGAAGGAAGACGGUUUUCGGAUUGUAAACUUCUAUCAGCAGGGAAGAAAAUGACAGUACCUGACUAAGAAGCCCCGGCUAACUACGUGCCAGCAGCCGCGGUAAUACGUAGGGGGCAAGCGUUAUCCGGAAUUACUGGGUGUAAAGGGUGUGUAGGCGGCAAUGCAAGUCAGAUGUGAAAGCCAGGGGCUCAACCCCUGGACUGCAUUUGAAACUGUGUAGCUAGAGUGCAGGAGAGGUAAGUGGAAUUCCUAGUGUAGCGGUGAAAUGCGUAGAUAUUAGGAAGAACACCAGUGGCGAAGGCGGCUUACUGGACUGUAACUGACGCUGAGGCACGAAAGCGUGGGGAGCGAACAGGAUUAGAUACCCUGGUAGUCCACGCUGUAAACGAUGAGUGCUAGGUGUCGGGGGUCGACAGACCUUCGGUGCCGCAGCUAACGCAUUAAGCACUCCACCUGGGGAGUACGAUCGCAAGAUUGAAACUCAAAGGAAUUGACGGGGGCCCGCACAAGCGGUGGAGCAUGUGGUUUAAUUCGAAGCAACGCGAAGAACCUUACCAAAUCUUGACAUCCCAUUGAUCGUUUCGUAAUGGAAACUUUCCCUUCGGGGACAAUGGAGACAGGUGGUGCAUGGUUGUCGUCAGCUCGUGUCGUGAGAUGUUGGGUUAAGUCCCGCAACGAGCGCAACCCUUAUCUCUAGUAGCCAGCACUUCGGGUGGGGACUCUAGAGAGACUGCCGGGGAUAACUCGGAGGAAGGUGGGGAUGACGUCAAAUCAUCAUGCCCCUUAUGAUUUGGGCUACACACGUGCUACAAUGGUGGUGACAAAGGGAAGCAAGAGGGUGACCUUAAGCAAACCUCAAAAAAGCCACCUCAGUUCGGAUUGUAGUCUGCAACUCGACUACAUGAAGCUGGAAUCGCUAGUAAUCGCGAAUCAGAAUGUCGCGGUGAAUACGUUCCCGGGCCUUGUACACACCGCCCGUCACACCAUGGGAGUCGGAAGCGCCCGAAGCCGGUGAUCCAACGUAAGAGGAAGCCGUCGAAGGUGAAGUCGAUAACUAGGGUGAAGUCGUAACAAGGUA